CCUACGGGAGGCAGCAGUGGGGAAUAUUGGACAAUGGGCGAAAGCCUGAUCCAGCAAUGCCGCGUGAGUGAUGAAGGCCUUAGGGUUGUAAAGCUCUUUUACCCGGGAUGAUAAUGACAGUACCGGGAGAAUAAGCUCCGGCUAACUCCGUGCCAGCAGCCGCGGUAAUACGGAGGGAGCUAGCGUUAUUCGGAAUUACUGGGCGUAAAGCGCACGUAGGCGGCUUUGUAAGUAAGAGGUGAAAGCCUGGUGCUCAACACCAGAACUGCCUUUUAGACUGCAUCGCUUGAAUCCAGGAGAGGUGAGUGGAAUUCCGAGUGUAGAGGUGAAAUUCGUAGAUAUUCGGAAGAACACCAGUGGCGAAGGCGGCUCACUGGACUGGUAUUGACGCUGAGGUGCGAAAGCGUGGGGAGCAAACNGGAUUAGAUACCCUGGUAGUCCACGCCGUAAACGAUGAUAACUAGCUGUCGGGGCUCUUAGAGCUUCGGUGGCGCAGCUACGACAUAAGUUAUCGCCGUCGGGAGGUACGGCCGCGAACGGUUAAAACGUUAAACGUAAGUAAGUUAGACGGACGUGAGACGUAGCCGACGACGACGACGAGGGAGUUAGG
rnacentral:rRNA from 1 species